rnacentral:rRNA from 1 species
CUCUGUGACUCCUACGGGGAGGCAGCAGUGGGGGAAUAUUGCACAAUGGGGGGAAACCCUGAUGCAGCCAUGCCGCGUGUGUGAAGAAGGACCUUCGGGGUUGUAAAGCACUUUCAGUAGGGAGGAAGGUAGUGUAGUUAACACCUGCACUAUUUGACGUUACCUACAGAAGAAGCACCGGCUAACUCCGUGCCAGCAGCCGCGGUAAUACGGAGGGUGCGAGCGUUAAUCGGAAUUACUGGGCGUAAAGCGCAUGCAGGCGGCCUGUUAAGUCAGAUGUGAAAGCCCGGGGCUUAACCUCGGAAUUGCAUUUGAAACUGGCAGGCUAGAGUCUUGUAGAGGGGGGUAGGAAUUUCAGGUGUAGCGGUGAAAUGCGUAGAGAUCUGAAGGAAUACCAGUGGCGAAGGCGGCCCCCUGGACAAAGACUGACGCUCAGAUGCGAAAGCGUGGGGAGCAAACAGGAUUAGAUACCCUGGUAG